rnacentral:misc_RNA from 1 species
UGCCUGUUCGAGCGUCAUUAUGACCAAUCAAGCUUGGCUUGGUGUUGGGGUUCGCGGUCCCGCGGCCCUUAAAAUCAGUGGCGGUGCUAUUCGGCUCUAAGCGUAGUAAUCUUCUCGCUAUAGCGUCCGGGCAGUUUCCUCCAAAACUCCCCCAUCUCACGAUUGACCUCGGAUCAGGUAGGGAUACCCGCUGAACUUAA